UGGGGAAUAUUGCACAAUGGGCGCAAGCCUGAUGCAGCCAUGCCGCGUGUAUGAAGAAGGCCUUCGGGUUGUAAAGUACUUUCAGCGGGGAGGAAGGGAGUAAAGUUAAUACCUUUGCUCAUUGACGUUACCCGCAGAAGAAGCACCGGCUAACUCCGUGCCAGCAGCCGCGGUAAUACGGAGGGUGCAAGCGUUAAUCGGAAUUACUGGGCGUAAAGCGCACGCAGGCGGUUUGUUAAGUCAGAUGUGAAAUCCCCGGGCUCAACCUGGGAACUGCAUCUGAUACUGGCAAGCUUGAGUCUCGUAGAGGGGGGUAGAAUUCCAGGUGUAGCGGUGAAAUGCGUAGAGAUCUGGAGGAAUACCGGUGGCGAAGGCGGCCCCCUGGACGAAGACUGAAGCUCAGGUGCGAAAGCGUGGGGAGCAAACAG
rnacentral:rRNA from 1 species